GACGAACGCUGGCGGCGUGCUUAACACAUGCAAGUCGAACGAAGUGGCGAACGGGUGAGUAACGCGUAAUCAACCUGCCCUUCAGUGGGGGACAACAGGUGGAAACGACUGCUAAUACCGCAUACUGAAGGAGGGGAUUGCGUCUGAUUAGCUAGUUGGAGGGGUAACGGCCCUCCAAGGGGAUGAUCAGUAGCCGGUCUGGGAGGAUGAACGGCCACAUUGGGACUGAGACACGGCCCAGACUUCCACGGGGGGCAGCAGUUGGGAAUCUUCCGCAAUUGACGAAAGUCUGACGGAGCAACGCCGCGUUAGUGAUGACGGGCUUCGGGUUGGAAAGCUCUGUUAGUCGGGACGCGGUACCGGAAUAGAAAGCCACGGCUAACUACGUGCCAGCAGCCGCGGUAAUAC
rnacentral:rRNA from 1 species